CCUACGGGAGGCAGCAGUGGGGAAUUUUGGACAAUGGGCGCAAGCCUGAUCCAGCCAUGCCGCGUGCGGGAAGAAGGCCUUCGGGUUGUAAACCGCUUUUGUCAGGGAAGAAACGCGCCGAGCUAAUACCUCGGCGUAAUGACGGUACCUGAAGAAUAAGCACCGGCUAACUACGUGCCAGCAGCCGCGGUAAUACGUAGGGUGCAAGCGUUAAUCGGAAUUACUGGGCGUAAAGCGUGCGCAGGCGGCUUUGCAAGACAGAUGUGAAAUCCCCGGGCUCAACCUGGGAACUGCAUUUGUGACUGCAUGGCUAGAGUGCGGCAGAGGGGGAUGGAAUUCCGCGUGUAGCAGUGAAAUGCGUAGAUAUGCGGAGGAACACCGAUGGCGAAGGCAAUCCCCUGGGCCUGCACUGACGCUCAUGCACGAAAGCGUGGGGAGCAAACAGGAUUAGAUACCCUGGUAGUCCACGCCCUAAACGAUGUCAACUGGUUGUUGGACGGCUUGCUGUUCAGUAACGAAGCUAACGCGUGAAGUUGACCGCCUGGGGAGGUACGGCCGCGAGUAGAACGUACGAAGAAGUAGACGGACGUUGAGAGNGCGACGGACGACGACGAGGGAGGAGG
rnacentral:rRNA from 1 species